CAAGUCCUGGCCAAAGUUGGAAAAAUCUUUUGUCUGAAGAUUCGCAGGCCGGGGGCAAGGAGAAAGAGAUAAGUGCCAGCUUAAUGGCCGGGAAAUGGUCUUUUGUGUGGGCUCAUCUGGGGGGAGACAGCCAUCUCAGGGGUGCUGCACAUGACUUACCUAAGCGCCCAGGACUGCCACGAUUGGCAGAAGAAGGAUAAAAAAGGGACCUACAACCAAGAGAGGUGAGGUCUCUGACAUCAGAUUCCUCCAUGGAAGAGGGGAGGGGGAUGAGAGGAUGAAGCACAUCCCAUGCAGGACAGAGCCCUGGAGACGCAGGCCAAAGAGAAAAGUUGUUUGGCUGCAAGAGUCAUGAAAAAUACAUAGUGAGAAGUGCCUGGAGGGGUGAGGGCUGGUGAUAAAGCACAGCAACACAGAGAAGUGCUCUAACCUCGAGCAGAAAGGACAGGAACAAAUUCAGCAGGGUCCUGCAUCGAUGGGGUGGGACACAGCCUCAGCCAUGGCACAGCUGGGGGGGGGAUGGGGGCCAUUCCAGAAACAUGGAUGCUUGUCCCAGCCUUCAGUGCCAGCUUCGACAACACAGAUGUUCUUGCCUCUGGCUUUCACAGGCAGCUGACAGGUUAUCAAAGCAUCACGAGUGACUCAAUGUGUGAUGUAACUCCCAGGUCUUCCCUCCCGCUCCUCAUCCCCAGGCACAACAGCUCACGGGGACGCGGGCACGGCCACAGCCAUCCCACCUGUGCCUGACCAGUGAUGGUGCAUGAUGCUCAGUUGGUGACGGUGGGUGACCUGGCUCCAGGGCUCCUGCAGGACUUCCUCAAACCAACCACUGCAAGAGAGCCGAUCACUUUCCAUUAAAUGGUUUGAGCUAAACAUGAGGACUCCUAAUCCCUACUCUGGUAAAACUUCAGUUUGCGUAACUGGUGGCUCUGAAGAAAAGGAACAUUACAGUGACUUCAGCUCAGAUGUGGACCACUGAGCACAGCCACGCAGAUACAGCUGCGCCUUUUUACAAUGAUUUUUCUGGAACCUAAAAUUAAAACCUUACUUAAAAAUGCACCUAUCUGCCUUGUCUCACUGCAUUACAACCCUCUGACAUGAAGGAGGCAGACAUUUUCAGUGCAAGGUGUACAGAAGAGAGCUCCUGCUCUUGGUAGCAGACUGCUUCAGAGAUCCCAUUCCUGCAGAGGAACCAGAGCCCGGGACACAUCCAGAGCAUCCCUGAGACACUGGAACUCUCCACUGCCUCUGCUGCAAAAAAUACAUGUGCACAGCAUCCUGCUCGUGAAACCAAACCUUAGUGCUUGGAGCGUGAAUUUAUUUUCUGUUACAGAUCGUCCUAGAAAUGUGGUAGGUACUAAUGCAGGAUUUAACAUAUGAAACGAUCAUGACAGAUUAGGAAUUAGUUCUACUAGAACUAGAAAAUCAUCAAACAAUAAAAAUUCCACGUCGGCAUUAGGUACUGAUUUCAGUUCUCAUGGCUGGAGCGCAUCUCCAUCUGUUGCUGCUAACAACAAAUGCAACGAGCAAAUCCAGAACACAGACUUGGAGCACGUAAGCGCGUACUGCAGGUCCUUGAUUAAGGAAACAAAUCAGUAACCGUCCAACAUGCACAGAAUUAACAAAGAAGCAGAUGUUUAAAUGUGCUUGCUUUAAUUUGAUGCCAAAUUAAUGUAUACAUUCUCUAGUACUCAUCAAUAUUUCACCCUUUUAAGCCUGUCACUGGCAGUGAACAGCAGAUAGGGAUGUUUUUCAUUAGUGCCUCUGAAACUGUAACUUUCUUUUUAAUUUAAUGAUGUGUGUUAUUCAGAAAAAUCAGCGCAUAUUUUAAAAUAGAAAAUGAGAAAACAACUGCAAGAACAAGACAGAAUACAAUCCAGUUCUCAUCAGUAAGCUGGCUGGUUUGUUUCAUUUUGUUGUUUCAUAUAUUCCAAUGACAAUGAGCAUUGAGCCUCGAUUUUUUAUGAAAAAGCCAUAGGAGAAGUUGGAAACGUUGCUUCAAAGCAGAACAGAUCUUUUGGCGUAUGAAGGCUCUCUCAUUACCUAGAGUCCAAAACUGUAACUGUGAUCAGCACUGUGUUGACUUGAGGGGAAGAACUAUCAACACUUAGAAAUAAAAGCCACUGAAGAGCAGUACACUCUGCUUGAACGGGGAAAAAGGAAGCAAGAAAUGAAGCUGUGCCCUCCAAGCAGCCUGUGGAAACAGCUUGACACUUCAUUGCGGCGUGCAUCCCCACCACUGACGCGGCAGGGCUGGUGCACCAUGUCCUCACGCUCAGCUGG